CCUACGGGAGGCAGCAGUGGGGAAUCUUGCACAAUGGAGGAAACUCUGAUGCAGCCAUGCCGCGUGUGUGAAGAAGGCCUUCGGGUUGUAAAGCACUUUCAGCGAGGAGGAAGGGUUAGUAGUUAAUACCUGCUAGCUUUGACGUUACUCGCAGAAGAAGCACCGGCUAACUCCGUGCCAGCAGCCGCGGUAAUAC
rnacentral:rRNA from 1 species